UUCCUCACUCGCUCUGAUGCAUAGCGUGGUCUAUUCCGUCAGACACUCGCUCGCAUCCCCCUCCGAGGCAAUAAAAGUUUGACUCGCACGGCAAAACGAGGGGCAUGAUUAUUUGCGAUCGUGAAUUUGGACCGAGUUACUUCGGAUAGUUCACAGAGAGGCAAACGAUUAGUUCGCAUUGAGCAGCCAGUGCAGGAUGGUGGAUUAGAGAUGGGCAAAACAGUUCACUUUGAUGAACGGUUCACUCACUAACCGUUCAUCUACGUGAAUCAGUUCUUUUGAACCGUUCUUUCGUUCAGCGGUAUUAAGAACAACAUAGAAUGUUGGCUGGAACCCAACAUCAAUAGACAGCUAUCAAUUGAUAUCGUUGGAUUGGAUAGUGUACGUAUGGUAUUUAUGUAAUAAUUUGAUCCGCACAAAAUAUGUGCAAUUUUUUAUAUUCUUUUUGGACAACACACUGGUUCCAUGUAAGAUUACAUAUUUCAUAAUAUAAAAAAUCAACAGCGAUUUUCACUAACAAUCAAUCAUACAAACAAUCACAAUAACACGUACACGCAAUAGGCCAAUCAAUGAAUUGAAAGCCACGAAAAAACUUUUUUCUCAACAUGCCCUCACUAUAAAAUUUUAUGAUUACCUAAUCCAUGAAUCGCCCCAGCUUCCCCCAGAUUUUUUUCUGAUAAUCACGAAAUAUAUGAAUGUUAGGCGGAAUUGAAAGAAUACAUGUAAUUGAAAAUAUAUAUUUUUGCUUUUAAAACUACACAAAUAUUUGCUACUUUUAACACAAAAUUGAGUAUACAUUAACAAAAUAAACCCUGCGUUAGAUGCAUUUUGCUCAUCAUGACAAUAUCGUUUUAUUUUCCUUACAAGCGUUCUCGUUAUAUUUGUUCAUUCCGUCCAGCGCAAAUCAGUUCAGCUGCACUAGUUCGUUCGCAAACAGUUCGCCCGCAAACACUUCGUUCUCAAACAGUUCGUUCCCAAACAGUUCACUCUCAAUCAGUUCUUUCCCAUACAGUUCACUUCGUACCGUUCGUGAACGGUUUGCCCAUCUCUAAUUUGGUUUAGUUGAACACUUUGUGAUAUUUUAGUGGCUGGGAUUCCAUCGUGCAGUCAUCGGGUGUGGACGCGUUUUCAGUCGCUCCGCAUAUAUUUUCGUUCAGGAUCGCUUGAUUUAGUUUAACGUGACCAAACGUGUUUGAUUCUCCACGCGUUAUCUUUUAAUUGCAACAUUUAAAUUAUAGUCAUAUAUAGUGUGUAAUUGGUAUGAAACAAAGAUUUUCAUGUUGUUAUGAUUUGUGAUGGAGAGCAACUAUGCAUCAGAAGUUUCCAGAAGCAUUGAUGCAUUUGAUGAUAUGGUGUUAUAUGUGGCUGUUUUUGUUGUGUUCUCUCUCGCGCUUUCUUUUUGUGUGCGUCUACAAAGAUUUGAUUGCCGUUAUAGUAGUAGUAGUAGCAAGUAAAAGAAAUUGUUGGCUCUCAUACGCGCUGGAAGAAAAAUAUUAUGCGCCUAGUGUCGGCUGAUUUGUACAGUUUCAUGUUUAAUGGCCUUAGUAAUCUCGUCGCUUUUUUAGCAGUCCAGUAGAAUACACUUGUUUUACCUGAAUAAUAGAACCGAAAAAAUGGUAGUGAAAAUUGAUUGUUCGGCGAAGAAAAGUGUUUUGUGUGUAAAUAGUUUUGCUUUCAUUCGUCUAAAUCACGUUCUCAAGUGUUCAUUGCGUCGCGUGUGAUAUGUGGAAUAGAUCUCUGAAGCUAUACAGAAAUGUAGCUUAGUGGUAAAGUGUGCGCGAGUGUAUUUUUAUUAGAGAUGGGCAAACCGUUCAUGAACUGAUCAAAAGAACGAGUUCACCCAAAAGAGUGAACGAAAUGACGUUCCUUCACAACAAACAGGCUCAAAACAAAAGAAUUCUGAUACUGGAAAUACGUUGUCUAGCAAUGAAAGCACGUCUGUUGUCGAUGAAUUGAAAGGUGAUUGCAUCCAGAAAUCUUUAGACGAUAUCUCACAAAAUUCAGCCAUUCGAAAUGACGUUCCUUCACAACAAACAGGCUUAAAACAAAAGAAUUCUGAUACUGGAAAUACGUUGUCUAGCAAUGAAAGCACGUCUGUUGUCGAUGAAUUGAAAGAAAACCACUUCACGUUUUGACCCACCUGGUAGUAUGUUAAGUGCCUUGUUUUACACCAGCUUGAGAGUUUGGCAGUUCUCGCGAGUGACAGUGGUCGCAAAUUGCAUUUGCGACCCGGACAUGUUUGACGCUGUCAAAUCCUAUGUGCUAGUAUACGGAUGCCCUCAGGCUGCUGGAAAUACGUUGUCUAGCAAUGAAAGCACGUCUGUUGUCGAUGAAUUGAAAGGUGAUUGCAUCCAGAAAUCUUUAGACGAUAUCUCACAAAAUUCAGCCAUUCGAAAUGACGUUCCUUCACAACAAACAGGCUUAAAACAAAAGAAUUCUGAUACUGGAAAUACGUUGUCUAGCAAUGAAAGCACGUCUGUUGUCGAUGAAUUGAAAGAAAACCACUUCACGUUUUGACCCACCUGGUAGUAUGUUAAGUGCCUUGUUUUACACCAGCUUGAGAGUUUGGCAGUUCUCGCGAGUGACAGUGGUCGCAAAUUGCAUUUGCGACCCGGACAUGUUUGACGCUGUCAAAUCCUAUGUGCUAGUAUACGGAUGCCCUCAGGCUGCUGGAAAUACGUUGUCUAGCAAUGAAAGCACGUCUGUUGUCGAUGAAUUGAAAGGUGAUUGCAUCCAGAAAUCUUUAGACGAUAUCUCACAAAAUUCAGCCAUUCGAAAUGACGUUCCUUCACAACAAACAGGCUUAAAACAAAAGAAUUCUGAUACUGGAAAUACG